rnacentral:rRNA from 1 species
GUAUCAAUAAGCGGAGGAAAAGAAACCAACAGGGAUUGCCCUAGUAACGGCGAGUGAAGCAGCAAAAGCUCAAAUUUGAAAUCUGGCUCUUUCAGGGCCCGAGCUGUAAUUUGUAGAGGGCGCUUUGGCGUCGGCCACGGCCUAAGUUCCUUGGAACAGGACGUCACAGAGGGUGAGAACCUCGUACGUGGCUGCUGGCCUUCGCCGUGUAAAGCCCCUUCGACGAGUCGAGUUGUUUGGGAAUGCAGCUCUAAAUGGGAGGUAAAUUUCUUCUAAAGCUAAAUACUGGCCAGAGACCGAUAGCGCACAAGUA